rnacentral:rRNA from 1 species
GCGCGCAAAUUACCCACUCCCGGCACGGGGAGGUAGUGACGAAAAAUAACGAUACGGGACUCAUCCGAGGCCCCGUAAUCGGAAUGAGAACAAUUUAAAUCCUUUAACGAGGAUCAAUUGGAGGGCAAGUCUGGUGCCAGCAGCCGCGGUAAUUCCAGCUCCAAUAGCGUAUAUUAAAGUUGUUGCGGUUAAAAAGCUCGUAGUCGAAUCUGUGUCCCGCGCCGCCGGUUCGUCGCUCGCGGCGUUUAACUGGCGUGUCCGCGGGACGUCCUGCCGGUGGGCUUAGUCUUUUCACUAAGGCGGCCCAAUCUUAAUCCCGCCGCGGUGCUCUUCACCGAGUGUCGAGGCGGGCCGGCACGUUUACUUUGAACAAAUUAGAGUGCUUAAAGCAGGCUAAAACUUCGCCUGAAUACUUCGUGCAUGGAAUAAUGGAAUAGGACCUCGGUUCUAUUUUGUUGGUUUUCGGAACCCCGAGGUAAUGAUUAAUAGGAACGGAUGGGGGCAUUCGUAUUGCGACGUUAGAGGUGAAAUUCUUGGAUCGUCGCAAGACGGACAGAAGCGAAAGCAUUUGCCAAAAACGCUUUCAUNGAUCAAGAACGAAAGUUAGAGGUUCGAAGGCGAUCAGAUACCGCCCUAGUUCUAACCAUAAACUAUGCCAGCUAGCGAUCCGCCGANGUUNCUNCNAUGACUCGGCGGGCAGCUUCCGGGAAACCAAAGCUUUUGGGUUCCGGGGGAAGUAUGGUUGCAAAGCUGAAACUUAAAGGAAUUGACGGAAGGGCACCACCAGGAGUGGAGCCUGCGGCUUAAUUUGACUCAACACGGGAAACCUCACCAGGCCCGGACACCGGAAGGAUUGACAGAUUGAGAGCUCUUUCUUGAUUCGGUGGGUGGUGGUGCAUGGCCGUUCUUAGUUGGUGGAGCGAUUUGUCUGGUUAAUUCCGAUAACGAACGAGACUCA